rnacentral:rRNA from 1 species
CAAUAGCGUAUAUUAAAGUUGUUGCAGUUAGAACGCUCGUAGUCGGAUUUCGGGGCGGGCCGACCGGUCUGCCGAUGGGUAUGCACUGGUCGGCGCGUCCUUCCUUCCGGAGACCGUUCCUACUCUUAACUGAGCGGGGGCGGGAGACGGAUCGUUUACUUUGAAAAAAUCAGAGUGUUUCAAGCAGGCAGCUCGCUCUUGCAUGGAUUAGCAUGGGAUAAUGAAAUAGGACUUUGGUGCUAUUUUGUUGGUUUCGAACACCGAAGUAAUGAUUAAAAGGGACAGUCAGGGGCACUCGUAUUCCGCCGAGAGAGGUGAAAUUCUCAGACCAGCGGAAGACGAACUACUGCGAANGNAUUUGCNAGGGAUGUUUNCACUG